rnacentral:sRNA from 2 species
GGGCAGCGAUCGCCGAAUCCCCGUCAGGCGCGAGCCUGGGGAACCGGGGACCCACCGUCCCCUGGGGUGAAUCGGACGCCUUCGCCACCGCGCGGAGGGGCCCGUAGGAGACCUUCCUGCUCCGAACCCGUCAGCUAACCCGGUAGGCGAGAGGGAAGGAAAGG